ensembl:lncRNA
UUAAAGGUGCAAUCUGGGAUAUUUGCUGUUUAAUAUUUGGUGGUGGGCUAAUGUUGAGCUUUAACACAAAUCCCAGAUUGUAUCUUUAAGGUCCAAGCUGCCCUAAACUGCUGUUGUCAUGUUCAUUAGGGGACACAAUGGAAAACAUUUAAAUGUUGUGCAAUGGAAAAAGAAAACGGGCAUUUCAUAUUGGACAAGUCCAGGUGGUAGGUGGUAGGUCUAGGUGGUAGGUCCAGGUGGUAGGUGGUAGGUCCAGGUGGUAGGUGGUCGGUCCAGGUGGUAGGUGGUAGGUCCAGGUGGUAGGUGGUAGGUCUAGGUGGUAGGUCCAGGUGGUAGGUGGUAGGUCCAGGUGGUAGGUGGUCGGUCCAGGUGGUAGGCUAGUCCCUCACUGUUUAAUUUUUAUUUUAUUUUUUAUUAUUUUUUUUUUUAUCACCUUUAUUUAACCAGGUAGGCCAGUUGAGAACAAGUCCUCAUUUACAACUGUGACCUGGCCAAGAUAAAACAAAGCAGUGCGACACAAACACAGACAGAGAUAAAACAUGGAAUAAACAAACGUACAGUCAAUAACACAAUAGAAAAGUCUAUAUACAGUAUGUGCAAAUUAAGUAAGAUUAGGGAGGUAAGGCAAUAAAUAGGCCAUAGUGGCGAAAUAAUUACAAUUUAGCAAUUAAACACUGAAGUGAUCGAUGUGCAGAAGAUGAAUGUGCAAGUAGGGAUACUGGGUGCAAAG